rnacentral:pre_miRNA from 1 species
UGUUAAAAAUUUUAUAUAUUUUUAUAGUUUAAAAAUAGUUAAUGUAUGUUAACAUAAAAUACACGUGACAUAAUAGGUGUUACUAUUUAGCUAUUUUAUCAACCGUACCGAUUUUUAAGGGUAAAAAUAAAUGAAAUUUUUAAAA